rnacentral:rRNA from 1 species
AUGGCAUGGUGUCAUGAUACCGCCCCAAGAAGUUGCACUAAAAGAAUUGAAAAUGUUCCAUGGCUUCGAGAGGGCGCCAGGAAUGAAGAGAAAGAGAGAGACCUUGCUAGAGGGAAGGACAACAACGUCGAAUGGCCCGAGAGAGGAGAAGGAAUGACCAAAUCUAUGGUGGUCCAUGUCAAAAGUUCCCUGGCAUCAGGGGAAGUUUUGUUUGAUAGGAAUAUGUCAUCAACGAGUAGAAGCGCAACAUGUGGGGAGAAUGAUACCAGGGGUCACUCCAUUAUUGAGUGCACCAUGGCGAGGAACGAUUGGGCGCUUGCUGGAGAGGAUACUACAGAGGUUAUGUCACAUGGUGAAAAUAUGCCCUAG